ensembl:misc_RNA Metazoa_SRP Metazoan signal recognition particle RNA
GCCAGGUAUGGUGGUGUGUACCUGUAAUCCCAAACACUUGGGAGGCUGAGGUGGGAGGAUGGCUUGAGCCCAGGAGGUUGAGGGUGCAGUGAGCUAUGAUCGUGCCACUGCACUCCAGCCAGGGCUACAUAGCAAGACUCCAUCACUA